UUAGCAUGGGAUAAUGGAAUAGGACCCUGUCCUCCUAUUUUCAGUUGGUUUUGCACGCGAGGACCAGGGUAAUGAUUAAUAGGGAUAGUUGGGGGCAUUAAUAUUUAAUUGUCAGAGGUGAAAUUCUUGGAUUUAUGAAAGAUUAACUUCUGCGAAAGCAUCUGCCAAGGAUGUUUUCAUUAAUCAAGAACGAAAGUUAGGGGAUCGAAGACGAUCAGAUACCGUCGUAGUCUUAACCAUAAACGAUGCCGACCAGCGAUUAGGAGACGUUGAAUACAAAACACCACCAUCGGCGCGGUCGUCCCUGGCGUCGCGCAAGCGGCGCGGGGGCGGCUUAGCCCGAUGGCACCGGUGAAUGACUCCCUAGCAGCUUG
rnacentral:rRNA from 1 species